UACGGAGGGAGCUAGCGUUGUUCGGAAUUACUGGGCGUAAAGCGCGCGUAGGCGGCUUUGUAAGUUAGUGGUGAAAGCCCGGGGCUCAACUCCGGAACUGCCUUUAAGACUGCAUCGCUUGAAUCCGGGAGAGGUGAGUGGAAUUCCGAGUGUAGAGGUGAAAUUCGUAGAUAUUCGGAAGAACACCAGUGGCGAAGGCGGCUCACUGGACCGGUAUUGACGCUGAGGCGCGAAAGCGUGGGGAGCAAACAGG
rnacentral:rRNA from 1 species